rnacentral:rRNA from 1 species
UACGAAGGGGGCUAGCGUUGCUCGGAAUUACUGGGCGUAAAGGGCGCGUAGGCGGAUAGUUUAGUCAGAGGUGAAAGCCCAGGCUCAACCUUGGAAUUGCCUUUGAUACUGGCUAUCUUGAGUUCGGGAGAGGUGAGUGGAAUGCCGAGUGUAGAGGUGAAAUUCGUAGAUAUUCGGCGGAACACCAGUGGCGAAGGCGACUCACUGGCCCGAUACUGACGCUGAGGCGCGAAAAGCGUGGGGGAGCAAACAGG